AUUGACAAUUAUUUAUGAUCUAUGGAUUUUAUAGAUCUUGCUGUGUUACACCGUUACACGAUCUUGUCUAUUUAUCUAUGUUGUCUAUCUUCUUGCCAUCUUUUAUUAAAAACGACGUUACGUCGCCAUUUCUAAAAUUUUGAAAUUUUAUUUGCUUUUCGAUUGAUGAUAAAUAAGAAUGGAAAAGUGUUCAUUUUGAUGCAACUGAAAAAAAAGCAAGUUGCCUGCCAUGGUUUCGUUUCAUUUUGGAGGGUCUUCUAAUUAAUUACGGAACAUUAAAAAAACCUUGGACGGCAUUACUUUACAGUGGCUUGGUUGUGUCAGUGUUCAUUCGAUUCAGAAAGUAGCUAUCCUAAAAAGAAGCACAAAAGUGCCUUUUUUUCAUUGAGAACGGAUACAUUGUAGCAUUGAUGAAGGAAGGAUUUAUGAUGUAUGAACUGGUAAAUAAACUAUAUCAAUUAAAAAUAUUAAUCCAGGUCCCAGAAACUUCAAUUUCUUAGGCAUUUGUAACUUACUUUCAUCAGACAACUUUUUAACGUUUUAAACGUGGCAGAAGCAAGAUGUGGAACUGGCCUUUCCAUCAGUGCAAAAGUUAGCUUCUAACUUUAACACCACAUCUCUAC
rnacentral:lncRNA from 1 species